CUGGUCUUGACAUCCACGGAAGUUUUCAGAGAUGAGAAUGUGCCUUCGGGAACCGUGAGACAGGUGCUGCAUGGCUGUCGUCAGCCCGUGUCGUGAGAUGUUGGGUUAAGUCCCGCAACGAGCGCAACCCUUAGGUUUAGUUGCCAGCACAUAAAGGCGGGCACUCUAGAUCGACUGCCGGUGACAAACCGGAGGAAGGUGGGGAUGACGUCAAAUCAUCAUGCCCCUUAUGACCUGGGCUACACACGUACUACAAUGGCCAGUACAACGGGAAGCGAAGCCGCGAGGUGGAGCGAAUCCUAUCAAAGCUGGUCUCAGUUCGGAUUGCAGGCUGCAACUCGCCUGCAUGAAGUCGGAAUUGCUAGUAAUCGCGGAUCAGCAAGCCGCGGUGAAUACGUUCCC
rnacentral:rRNA from 1 species